CUACGGGAUGCACCAGUGGGGAAUAUUGCACAAUGGGGGAAACCCUGAUGCAGCAACGCCGCGUGGAGGAUGACGCAUUUCGGUGUGUAAACUCCUUUUAUAUCCCAAGAUAAUGACGGUAGGAUAUGAAUAAGCACCGGCUAACUCCGUGCCAGCAGCCGCGGUAAUACGGAGGGUGCAAGCGUUACUCGGAAUCACUGGGCGUAAAGGGCGCGUAGGCGGGUUGUCAAGUCUUGAGUGAAAUCCAACGGCUCAACCGUUGAACUGCUUGAGAAACUGGCAGCCUAGAGUAAGGGAGAGGUAGAUGGAAUUGGUGGUGUAGGGGUAAAAUCCGUAGAGAUCACCAGGAAUACCCAUUGCGAAGGCGAUCUGCUGGAACUUUACUGACGCUGAGGCGCGAAAGCGUGGGGAGCAAACAGGAUUAGAUACCCGCGUAGUC
rnacentral:rRNA from 1 species